CAGGCGCACGAGCAGCGGCCACCCAAUAACCUAGCCGCCGGCCGCCAAACGCCACCUCCUAGUCCGGCGCCGCCUCCCCGCCUCCUCGCCGUUGCUGCGUCCUCGCCGAGCGCCGCCUCCCCGCCGGACGCCGUCAUCAGCCGAGCGCCCGAGCCUGCACGAGGGACGGGGCCACGGGGGGAGCCGGGCUGCGCCUGCCGGGGAGCUCGUCGCCCACGACGCCUAGGGCUCUCUGCAGGUCGCCGGAUCCGCCGACUCCCCACUGGACGCCGGACGCCUCUCUGCAGGGCUCUCUGUAUGUCGCCGGACGCCGGACACCAGUCCAGAGCAGUUCGAAAUAGAAAUGAAGAGAAAGAGGACUCUGCAUAGUUGGUUUGCAAGUAGUUCAAAUACACUUCCUAUUAUUCCUGAAUCCAAUGUUGCCCCAAUUAAUGUUAUUGUUCAGCCUACCCUCAUAGAGAACAUAAUCCCCGAUGAUCCAACAAAUGAGAGCACUAAUCCCUCGGUUGAUGAGAGAACUAAUCCCUCGGUUGAUGAGAGCACCAAUCCCACUUCAAAUGAGAGAACCAAUCCCCCAACCGAUGAGAGCACAAACCAACCAGCACCACCAACACAAUGUGCAGAUUUUUGGAUGAUAAUGGAGAGCUUCAGGAGAGAUUUCUUGCUAUUAAGCACAUCACAGAUUGCACAUCUGCCGGAAUUAAAGAAGCAUUGUUUCAUGUCUUAAAGUACCAUGGCUUGUCUAUUAAUAGGCUACGUGGACAGGGUUAUGAUGGGGCUUCAAACAUGAGAGGAGAAUUCAAUGGUUUGCAAAAGCUAAUUCGUGAUGAGAGUCCAUAUGCUUUCUAUGUUCACUGUUUUGCCCAUCAGUUGCAACUUCGUCGGUCGAGCGAAUAUUUUCAGCAAUAAGGUCAUCAAAACCGAUUUGCGCAAUAAGAUAUCAGAUGAUUGGCUCAAUGAUUUAAUGGUAUGCUACUGUGAGAAAAGGAUAUUCAAAAGUAUUCCAGAUGAUCAAAUUAUGAUACGAUUUCAGAAAAAGAAAAAUCGCAAAGGACAUUUGCCUCCUGAGUAUGAUGUUAUUUCUUAGAGAUGGCUUGCAGUUUGUCACUUGCAUUUUGGUGUGGAGGAGUUCUACAACUACAAUAUUGUUAGUAAGAAGCAACACCAGUAUCUUGUCUUUGCCUUAUUUUGGUUGAUUCUCUAGUACUUGAUGUAUUGGUGUGCAGAUUGUAUGAAACUUUGCUGUUGGUCAAUCAUGCUACUAGUAUUUGUCUUGA